CCUACGGGAGGCAGCAGUGGGGAAUAUUGGGCAAUGGAGGAAACUCUGACCCAGCGACGCCGCGUGCGGGAUGAAGGCCUUCGGGUUGUAAACCGCUUUCAGUAGGGAAGAAGCGAAAGUGACGGUACCUACAGAAGAAGCACCGGCUAACUAUGUGCCAGCAGCCGCGGUAAUACAUAGGGUGCAGGCGUUGUCCGGAAUUAUUGGGCGUAAAGAGCUCGUAGGUGGUUCGUCACGUCGGAUGUGAAAAUCUGGGGCUCAACCCCAGACCUGCAUUCGAUACGGGCGAUCUAGAGUGUGGUAGGGGAGACUGGAAUUCCUGGUGUAGCGGUGGAAUGCGCAGAUAUCAGGAGGAACACCAAUGGCGAAGGCAGGUCUCUGGGCCAUUACUGACACUGAGGAGCGAAAGCGUGGGGAGCGAACAGGAUUAGAUACCCUGGUAGUCCACGCCGUAAACGGUGGGCACUAGUUGUGGGAACCUUCCACGGUUUCUGCGACGCAGCUAACGCAUUAAGUGCCCCGCCUGGGGAGUACGAUCGCAAGAUUAAAACUCAAAUGAAAUUGACGG
rnacentral:rRNA from 1 species